rnacentral:lncRNA from 1 species
AGGAUCUACGACCGCGAUCAUACCAACCAUAGUGGCCCUAUCAGAUAUCUACAGUCACGAUAGUACUUAGCCAAGGGUGACCCCUAACAGAUAUUUGUAUUACCACUCUUGUAAAAAGCCUAACGAGGCACUUGAUGCAAUAUGCAUGUCAAUAUAAAUAUACUUCGGACCAUUCAUGCUUUAUUCCACUUUUCUUUUUUCUUUUUCUUUUUAUUCUUUAUUUUUAUCCGACAAUAAUACUUACUACACAUUAUAUUUAUUACA